rnacentral:ncRNA from 1 species
GAGAGCCCGUUGCGCUGAAAGGCGCACGGCGGGUUCGGAAGGCGGUCCGGGGAAACGAGCUGGCAGAAACGCCAGCACCGCGCCCCGGGCCGACCUUAC